CCUACAGUCAACCUCUCAGCCUUCAGAGUUUCAGUUUUCUGUGAACUUCACUAGGAACAUAAAAUGUGCCUCGUUUUCCAGUCCUCUCCCCGACUGUCUGGAAGGGCAGUUUCCUGGAAACUGCUUAUCUCUUGCCCAGAGCACCAGAAAACUAGAACAUUUAUUCAUC